rnacentral:rRNA from 1 species
UACGUAGGGUGCAAGCGUUAAUCGGAAUUACUGGGCGUAAAGCGUGCGCAGGCGGUUAUGUAAGACAGGUGUGAAAUCCCCGGGCUUAACCUGGGAACUGCAUUUGUGACUGCAUAGCUAGAGUACGGUAGAGGGGGAUGGAAUUCCGCGUGUAGCAGUGAAAUGCGUAGAUAUGCGGAGGAACACCGGUGGCGAAGGCGGCAUCCUGGACCGACACUGGCGCUGAUGAGCGAAAGCCAGGGGAGCAAACGGG